ACGCCCCUAGCUCAAUUGGUAGAGCAGCGGUCUCCAAAGCCGCCGGUUGCAGGUUCGAGUCCUGCGGGGCGCG
rnacentral:tRNA from 1 species